UCCGUUUAACCAUCUUUUCAAAGUCUUUUGUUCUAACGGAAUUGUUUUGGUUUGUAAUUAGAUUGUCACCUGACCGAGUAAUUGUGCGCAAAAGAGGCGGAUCCUGUAAACAGGGUACAACAUUGUAUCAAGUCUCGCGCAUUUAGGUUAGACGGAUAAUUCGUAGUACAAUUGUCGGAUCUAAGACCCGGGAACGGAUUACCAAAGUAAUUUUAAGCCGUACAGUCAUUAAACUGAAUUGUAAUCAAGCAAAGAUCGAAUUUGGUUUCAUUCAUUUGGCACGUCGAGCUCUAUAAUCUUUAGAAUCCAAUCGGGUCUGGUGUUCAGAGGCACCACAGGUAGUGAUGACCGUUUUACGAUCGACGAGAUUGACUGAUGAAGAGAUGAAAAAGCACGGUUUUUUGGUGUCAGCUGGAUGAUCUGCGUGUUCGUUAAUUUUGAUGUACUGUUUCUAGUUGUAUAAUCGAUAACUUGUUUCUCUCUUCUUUCAUGUCCGAUCAAAACGACACAUUGGAACCAUUUUUGUAUCGUACAUCGUAUCGCUGUCAUGGUUGGUUCAUUGUUUCAACCUGUGACGAUUGUUUUUCGCUGCUCGAAAUGGCUCACACAACGAAGGGUCGACUGGGUACUCAUCUCACUUUCGGAUUCGUUGUCAAUGUUUAUAUUGACGCGCUAGUCAAUUGUGCCAUUGUAUUGACAAAGCCAGUUAGCAACAGCCGUUGGCUUUUAAGUAAAUAAAUA